rnacentral:rRNA from 1 species
AAUGACGGUACCCGGAGAAGAAGUCCCGGCUAACUUCGUGCCAGCAGCCGCGGUAAUACGAAGGGGGCUAGCGUUGCUCGGAAUUACUGGGCGUAAAGGGCGCGUAGGCGGAUGUUUAAGUCGGGGGUGAAAGCCCGGGGCUCAACCUCGGAAUUGCCUUCGAUACUGGACAUCUUGAGUACGGGAGAGGUGAGUGGAACUCCGAGUGUAGAGGUGAAAUUCGUAGAUAUUCGGAAGAACACCAGUGGCGAAGGCGACUCACUGGCCCGUUACUGACGCUGAGGCGCGAAAGCGUGGGGAGCAAACAGGAUUAGAUACCCUGGUAGUCCACGCCGUAAACGAUGAG